CGCACACCCCGACCAGUCCACCUUCCUCGAUCCCCCUCAACUGGUGGCGGCGAUGCAAGUCCCCGGCACUGCCCCGACUAUGGCGAGGCCCCGGCGCUGAUGUACCUCGUCGGCCUGACGAGCGGCUGCUGCGGCCGCAGCCCUGACCAGUCCAUCGUCCUCGAGACCCAAGUGCCCAAUCUCCUCGACCUGAUCCUCCUCUAGGGCCACGCAUCGGCGGCGCUUGCUCCCCAUCAGACGGCGGUGCUCCCUCGGUCCCUCCCCAUUCGACUGUGGCGCUCCCUCCCCAUCUGACGGCGGCGCGCCCUCCCCAUCGGGGGCAUAAAAGUGUCUAUUGUUGUUUCAUAUUAACAUCACCGUUGUACACGUUACCAUUGAUUCUUGUAUUGUUUGUUUUGUAGAAAUGAGCACCACAGGAGGUGGACCUUCAAGUUCUCAUGCAGAUGAGUUGUCUUGAGAUUCGGAAAAUGAUGAAGUUGACAUAGCUUGAUGGAACAAGGAAGAGAUGGAUGAUUCAAAGGAGUCAUCAGCUUGUGGCAUUGAACUUGAUAUUUGAUAUCUUUAUUAUGUAAUCGACUUGUUGAACCAUGUUGCAGACUUGUCAAACUAUGUUGCUUGUGGACUUAUUGAACUAUAUAUGCUGUUGUUUGUGGAAUGCAGCUGUUUUGUGAAAUAUGUAUAUGCUGCUGUUUUGUGAAA